rnacentral:lncRNA from 1 species
GCACAUGCAAACAUUUGAGAAAUCAAGGAUCAAAAUUCUAGUAUUAUCUCUGAAAAUAGGACAAAAUGAAUUGAGAAGAUCAAUUAGUGGAAUAAACCUCAUGUUUUUGGAUAAUUAGUGUGCCUGAAGCAAAAGAAAAGAUUCUGCAUGACCAUCUAAAUUAGUUAUGAUAGAGAAUGCAAGAACAAAGUGCCUAGAAGAAAGUCUUUAGAGAUGAGGAAAAUGAGAGGUGAGAGGACACCUCCCUAACCUGUGGCCUUACCUGAAAGAGGAAAUAGAAACGAAACCCUAUCACCAAUCAGAAAGGGAGAAACGAACAGUACACCUAAGGCAAUAGUUUCCAGUAGUUGAUCCAGCUCCAUAACCCAACUGCUCUAGUGCAACUCAAAUUUGUUUUGACCACUAUGUAACAAAAGGACAAGGUUCAGAAAGAAGACACCAUAAUCAUUUAGCCAGGAAAGCAGGUUUUUGGACACUGGGUUCCCAAUGCCAAAAGUCACAUCCCUUUUUGAUUGGCAACAAAUCUCUCAUCUAAUCAAAUGAUCCCAAAAUGGCUCUCCCACCUAAACAACAAAAAAUCCCUCAUAGUCUAUAUUCUCUCAGUUAUACCGACAAGAUUCUAAACAGAGGCAAAAAUUAAAGACAACAAGGACUUAAACAAGGAUUGCCCCCAAGAAGGACUGCUAGAUAGCAUAAAUUGCCAUUUCAAGAUAGUGCACCCAAUGAUAUCAACCAAACAUCUAAUAACAUGCUCCUGUACAUUUGUGCUUGUUGAACUCUUUUCUCAAAUUAAUACGGUCAAACAAUUCAUUUUUCCCAAUUAUCCUUAAAGUUUAAGCUUAGAGGAAAUAACUCAUAGUAUUAAGCAUUAACAUACCCCCUCGAGCACAAGCUUGUUCUGCUAUAAGUACGGAAUGAUGACAAUCCCUUUAUACUUUAUACAAAAUUAAUUAAGAGAAUUGACCGGCAAUCAAGACUCAAUCUCUAAAGCUCUGUUAUGAUGUUAAAUAAUUGACUGUGACCAGUUACCACAAAAAUUUAAACUGGUAGAAAAUGGUCUAAUAUAUCGUUUAUGCUUUCAGAAAUACUAAACCAAAAAUAACCUUAAACACAUGUAACAUCAUUUAAGCUUGUAUAUAUCUGAAGGAAGUAUCUGUAUCCUAAGGCAAGAGGAGAAAAAUAUCAUCCA